rnacentral:misc_RNA from 1 species
ACACCUCAACUCUCACGGCUUGUCCGUGAUGAGCUUGGACUUUGGGGGGCUUUGCCGGCCUGUGGUCGGCUCCUCUCAAAUGGAUCAGCUUGCCAGUGUUUGGUGGCAUCACAGGUGUGAUAACUAUCUGCGCUUGUGGUUUUCCAUCAGAUAACCUUCAGUGAUAUGGAGGUUCGCUGGAGCUCACAAAUGUCUCUCCUUAGUGAGGACAGCUCUUUGAA